UACAGAGGUCUCAAGCGUUGUUCGGAUUCAUUGGGCGUAAAGGGCGCGUAGGCGGCUUGACAAGUCAAAGGUGAAAUCCCUCGGCUCAACUGAGGAACUGCCUUUGAAACUGUCUGGCUUGAGGCCGGGAGGGGGUAGCGGAAUUCCCAGUGUAGCGGUGAAAUGCGCAGAUAUCAGGAGGAACACCUACGGCGAAGGCAGCUCGCUGGGACGGUACUGACGCUGAGACGCGAAAGCGUGGGGAGCAAACAGG
rnacentral:rRNA from 1 species